CUGGGGAUAGCUCAGUUGGUAGAGUGCUUGCCUCAAAUGCACAAGGCCCUGGGUUCAAUCCCCAGCCCCCCGC
rnacentral:tRNA from 1 species